UGAGGUUGCGUCCUCUCAAUCUCGUACAAGUUUCAAAUACUUAUCUAGUUUGUGCUAGUGGCAUCUACCGAUCUUGUUUGAACUUAUCACCAACUUUGGUGUGGCGUUCACCUAUCCAUCUAUCCAUAUUUUUCACCUUAACCAUAUAGGAAUUGGGGUGACACUUUUUAGUGUUGAAUCAUUCCUAACGUUGAGUUCGU
rnacentral:lncRNA from 1 species